UACGGAGGGUGCAAACGUUGCUCGGAAUCAUUGGGCGUAAAGCGCACGUAGGCGGCCUGUUAAGUCGGGUGUGAAAGCCCUGGGCUCAACCCGGGAAGUGCACUCGAAACUGGCAGGCUUGAAUAUGGAAGAGGGUCGCGGAAUUCCCGGUGUAGAGGUGAAAUUCGUAGAUAUCGGGAGGAACACCAGUGGCGAAGGCGGCGACCUGGGCCAAUAUUGACGCUGAGGUGCGAAAGCGUGGGGAGCAAACAGG
rnacentral:rRNA from 1 species